rnacentral:rRNA from 5 species
AAACUUUCAACAACGGAUCUCUUGGUUCUGGCAUCGAUGAAGAACGCAGCGAAAUGCGAUACGUAAUGUGAAUUGCAGAAUUCAGUGAAUCAUCGAAUCUUUGAACGCACAUUGCGCCCGCCAGCAUUCUGGCGGGCAUGCCUGUCCGAGCGUCAUU